AGCGAACGCUGGCGGCGUGCCUAACACAUGCAAGUCGCACGAGAAAGGGGUCGCAAGACCCCCGGUACAGUGGCGAACGGGUGAGUAACACGUGGGUAACCUGCCCUUGGGUUCGGAAUAACCUGCCGAAAGGCGGGCUAAUACCGGAUAACGCCACGGGGUCCUCGGACCUCGUGGUUAAAGCUGACCUCUUCAUGAAAGUUGGCGCCUGGGGAGGGCCCGCGUCCCAUUAGCUAGUUGGUGAGGUAACGGCUCACCAAGGCUCCGAUGGGUAGCCGGCCUGAGAGGGCGACCGGCCACAGUGGAACUGAGACACGGUCCACACUCCUACGGGAGCAGCAGUGAGGAAUCUUGCGCAAUGGGCGAAAGCCUGACGCAGCGACGCCGCGUGGACGAUG
rnacentral:rRNA from 1 species